AACCAAGCUGGCUCUGCCCACAUGGGGGGAGUGUCUCUUAAUUGCCGGCCAAGCAGUCUGAAAUAAACUUACCAACUCAUCUUGUUUAAGGGGCAUGGAACAGGGGGAGUGGGAUGCUAGUGAGAGGAGCAACCGCGACUGCACACCUGCUGUAUACCAGGCCUCGUAUCUCAUUUAGCCUCAAAACAACCCUGUGUGUUAAGUGUUAUCACCCUCAUCUUGAAGAUCUGGGAACUGAUAAUUAGGGUAACUGAUCGUCCGAAAUGACUGCUAAGCACAGGCUUGAGGCAGUAACUUCCGUGCACAUAUCUGUGGCAUAGUUGCUGGAAACUGCUGUAUCUGCUGCUGAAUGGAGGAGAGAAGAAGGCAUGUGGCCUGUGGGCAGACAUCUACAAAAGAGGAAUUCAAAGGGAGCCUGGGUGGAGAGCAAGCCCUGGAGGUUCACUCUUUCAAGAAGUCGUGUGCUGAGGUGUAAUGCUACACAAGUCAGAGGAAGGAAGGGUCCUGAAACACAUGGCCUGAUUGUUGGCAAAGGCAUCGUAAGAAGC
rnacentral:sRNA from 1 species